rnacentral:rRNA from 1 species
CCUACGGGCGACAGCAGUGAGGAAUAUUGGGCAAUGGAGGCAACUCUGACCCAGCCAUGCCGCGUGAGUGAAGAAGGUUUUCGGAUUGUAAAGCUCUUUCGGAUGUGACGAUGAUGACGGUAGCAUCUAAAGAAGCUCCGGCUAACUUCGUGCCAGCAGCCGCGGUAAUACGGAGGGGGCAAGCGUUGUUCGGAAUUACUGGGCGUAAAGGGAGUGUAGGGGGUUUAGUAAGAUAGUUGUGAAAGCCCAGGGCUUAACCUUGGAAUUGCCAUUAUAACUAUUAGACUAGAAUUACAGAGAGGAUAGUGGAAUACCCAGUGUAGCGGUGAAAUGCGUAGAUAUUAGGUAGAACACCAAUGGCGAAGGCGACUAUCUGGCUGUACAUUGACGCUGAGGCUCGAAAGCGUGGGUAUCAAACAGGAUUAGAUACCCUUGUAGUC